rnacentral:rRNA from 1 species
GAUGAACGCUGGCGUCGUGCCUAAUACAUGCAAGUCGAGCGAACGGACGAGAAGCUUGCUUCUCUGAUGUUAGCGGCGGACGGGUGAGUAACACGUGGAUAACCUACCUAUAAGACUGGGAUAACUUCGGGAAACCGGAGCUAAUACCGGAUAAUAUUUUGAACCGCAUGGUUCAAAAGUGAAAGACGGUCUUGCUGUCACUUAUAGAUGGAUCCGCGCUGCAUUAGCUAGUUGGUAAGGUAACGGCUUACCAAGGCAACGAUGCAUAGCCGACCUGAGAGGGUGAUCGGCCACACUGGAACUGAGACACGGUCCAGACUCCUACGGGAGGCAGCAGUAGGGAAUCUUCCGCAAUGGGCGAAAGCCUGACGGAGCAACGCCGCGUGAGUGAUGAAGGUCUUCGGAUCGUAAAACUCUGUUAUUAGGGAAGAACAUAUGUGUAAGUAACUGUGCACAUCUUGACGGUACCUAAUCAGAAAGCCACGGCUAACUACGUGCCAGCAGCCGCGGUAAUACGUAGGUGGCAAGCGUUAUCCGGAAUUAUUGGGCGUAAAGCGCGCGUAGGCGGUUUUUUAAGUCUGAUGUGAAAGCCCACGGCUCAACCGUGGAGGGUCAUUGGAAACUGGAAAACUUGAGUGCAGAAGAGGAAAGUGGAAUUCCAUGUGUAGCGGUGAAAUGCGCAGAGAUAUGGAGGAACACCAGUGGCGAAGGCGACUUUCUGGUCUGUAACUGACGCUGAUGUGCGAAAGCGUGGGGAUCAAACAGGAUUAGAUACCCUGGUAGUCCACGCCGUAAACGAUGAGUGCUAAGUGUUAGGGGGUUUCCGCCCCUUAGUGCUGCAGCUAACGCAUUAAGCACUCCGCCUGGGGAGUACGACCGCAAGGUUGAAACUCAAAGGAAUUGACGGGGACCCGCACAAGCGGUGGAGCAUGUGGUUUAAUUCGAAGCAACGCGAAGAACCUUACCAAAUCUUGACAUCCUUUGACAACUCUAGAGAUAGAGCUUUCCCCUUCGGGGGACAAAGUGACAGGUGGUGCAUGGUUGUCGUCAGCUCGUGUCGUGAGAUGUUGGGUUAAGUCCCGCAACGAGCGCAACCCUUAAGCUUAGUUGCCAUCAUUAAGUUGGGCACUCUAAGUUGACUGCCGGUGACAAACCGGAGGAAGGUGGGGAUGACGUCAAAUCAUCAUGCCCCUUAUGAUUUGGGCUACACACGUGCUACAAUGGACAAUACAAAGGGCAGCGAAACCGCGAGGUCAAGCAAAUCCCAUAAAGUUGUUCUCAGUUCGGAUUGUAGUCUGCAACUCGACUACAUGAAGCUGGAAUCGCUAGUAAUCGUAGAUCAGCAUGCUACGGUGAAUACGUUCCCGGGUCU